rnacentral:rRNA from 1 species
GACGAACGCUGGCGGCGUGCUUAACACAUGCAAGUCGAACGGAAAGGCCCUGCUUUUGUGGGGUGCUCGAGUGGCGAACGGGUGAGUAACACGAGUGUAACCUGCCCUUGACUUUGGGAUAACUUCAGGUAACUGGGGCUACUACCAGAUAGGAGCUGCUGCUGCAUGGUGGGGGUGGGAACUUUUCGGCGGUCGGGGAUGGAUGAGCGGCUUAACAGCUUGUUGGUGGGGUAGUUGCUGACCAAGGCUGUGACGGGUAGGCGGCAUGGGAGGGUGACCGGCGACAAUAGUACUGAGAGACGGCGCAGACUCGUACGGGAGGCAGCAGUGGGGAGUAUUGCACAGUGGGCGGGAGCGUGAUGCGGAGGCGCUGCGUGCGGGAAGACGGCCUGCUGGGUGUAAACCGCUGUCGCCUGUGACGAAGCGUGAGUGACGGUAAUGGGUAAAGAAGCACCGGCUAACUACGUG